CCGGAAAUACGUCACCUCCACUUGAAAACAUCAAGAUGGCGUCGCGGGGAGUACUUCAAACUUAAACUCAGGGAUAGGAUUGGCAUAGAAGAUGCAGCACUCUUUACAUUUUAAAUAUCAAAUGUAUAUCAAGUGUUAUCCAUCCUGAUAACACCUCCACAAAUAGAGACUGGAACUUCUGAGCACCAUCACCUUGUCUGCUAUGGGACUGC